UACAGAGGGGGCGAGCGUUGUUCGGAAUUACUGGGCGUAAAGGGCGCGUAGGCGGCCUCUUAAGUCGAACGUGAAAUCCCCGGGCUCAACCCGGGAACUGCGUCCGAUACUGGGAGGCUUGAAUCCGGGAGAGGGAUGUGGAAUUCCAGGUGUAGCGGUGAAAUGCGUAGAUAUCGGGAGGAACACCUGUGGCGAAAGCGGCUCACUGGACCAUUACUGACGCUGAUGCUCGAAAGCUAGGGGAGCAAACAGG
rnacentral:rRNA from 1 species